CUAAGGCACAGGGAGGUAAAUUGAUUGGCUCAAGGAAACAUAAAUAUGUGUCUUCAACAUAGUACCAAAAUCCAAGGCUGGCUCCUGGGAUCAGAUUUUUCACCACCAUCCCUUCCACUGGAGCUGGAAUGUUCCAAAUCCUCAUGGAGCUCAUUGGAGCAGAAUGGAGGCGUUUACUGGUUUUUCCACUGGAUUGCUUUGAUGACCCUCAAAACUCACAGGCAAAUGACUCAAAGCCCUAUGGACUCUCCAGUGGCUGUGCCUGAAUGAUUGCAAACAGGAGAAAUUGUGGUGCCUUUACCAGAAAGAAUUGUUCUUACCACAAAGAACAGAUAACACACUAGGAAAAGAUGCUGCUUAUACCCUUCUGCAUUUCCAUUGAGGAUUAGCCUAAUUCCCACUGAAGCAGGAGAAAACUAUAGCUGGUCUUCCAAAUAGUUCCAGCUUUUGACAAAACGACCAAAAAAAAAAAAAGAUAAGAAUGUCUUCCUUCUUUCAGAAUCAGCUUCUAUUAUAUUGAGGGAGACCAGGAGCUGUCCAAACCUGAACUUACUCAGCAGAACAGCAUAGGGUGGAGGGGAAAUAUUUGUUCUAAACUCUAGGCCAAAAAGGAUGAUGGUAUGAAGAUGAAUGAUUCAUUGAUCCAAAUUGUAAAUCUAACUUUGUAAGAGCUCCAUAUUGCUUGGACAUUCCAUUUCUUGAACUCUUGUUUGACUUUACACCACAUUAUCCUUCUUUGUCUCUUAUAUCCCACACAUAGCAUUGCUAACUUGUGUGUCAAAAGUCCUCACAUACUAAUUAUCUCCUAUUACCUUCCAUGACAGAAACAACGUAUGUUAACUCAAAGCAUCCUAUCCCUUUUUAACAGCCCCUCUCUUUGUUAUCCACCCGUCAACACACACCAGCUAUUGCCAUAGUGUGCUCUUAGAAGAAGCCCCUGACAAGACUCUGUAGUUGGGGCUAAAGGUAGCUUAGCAACUCUCUGGAGUUCAAUACCUUCACAAAAUCACAAGUGCCUAGUACUCUUUAGUGUGUCAGAAAUCUCACAGCAGCACAUCUUAUUUUCAACAACUGAACAAUAUUCAGUGAGUAUCUACUAGGUAUUUUAGGUAGGGGAGCAACAAAGUAUAAAAUAUUGUUCAUGUAACAUGAAAUUUAGAAUCUAGUUGAGAAAUAUAUGCACACAUAAGAAAUAGCUAUCUAAGUAUCAAAUAACUGGGAUAGAUAAUUAGUUAUGAAGUUCAGAUGAAGGAAAUAUCACUUGAAAGUC
rnacentral:lncRNA from 1 species